UACGUAGGGGGCUAGCGUCGUCCGGAAUCAUUGGGCGUAAAGAGCGUGUAGGCGGCCCGGUAAGUCCGCUGUGAAAGUCGGGGGCUCAACCCUCGAAUGCCGGUGGAUACUGUCGGGCUAGAGUGCGGAAGAGGCGAGUGGAAUUCCUGGUGUAGCGGUGAAAUUCGUAGAUAUCAGGAGGAACACCGGUGGCGAAGGCGGCUACCUGGACGGUCACUGACGCUGAGACGCGAAAGCGUGGGGAGCAAACAGG
rnacentral:rRNA from 1 species